AACGAACGCUGGCGGCAGGCUUAACACAUGCAAGUCGAACGCCCCGCAAGGGGAGUGGCAGACGGGUGAGUAACGCGUGGGAAUCUACCCAUCCCUACGGAAUAACGCAUGGAAACGUGUGCUAAUACCGUAUACGCCCUACGGGGGAAAGAUUUAUCGGGGAUGGAUGAGCCCGCGUUGGAUUAGCUAGUUGGUGGGGUAAAGGCCUACCAAGGCGACGAUCCAUAGCUGGUCUGAGAGGAUGAUCAGCCACAUUGGGACUGAGGCACGGCCCAAACUCCUACGGGAGGCAGCAGUGGGGAAUAUUGGACAAUGGGCGCAAGCCUGAUCCAGCCAUGCCGCGUGAGUGAUGAAGGCCUUAGGGUUGUAAAGCUCUUUCACCGGAGAAGAUAAUGACGGUAUCCGGAGAAGAAGCCCCGGCUAACUUCGUG
rnacentral:rRNA from 1 species